UUCAAAGUCGUCUUUCCUGGCUGUCUGGAGCAAAGUGAAUUUCAAGUGAAAUGACAAAACAAAGUCAUAUUAUAUUGAGAAGGAGCCAGAGGUAAAGGAACUGGGCCAUCCAAGUGGCAUAAUGAAUAUUUCAAAAUUCCCCCAUUUGAAAAUGUUGCUUUAUUAUAUAUUCAAUACUUCUCAAUAUAAGCCAAUACAUCUUAUAGAACAUGACCCAGUUUACCUGUUUUUUCCACAGCACAGUUAUUGCAUGCUCUAUGAGAUCCAUUUAAUUAGCACUUGUUUUAAGAUUUCGGUAGAAUUAAAAAUAUGCAAGUAAAAUAGAUCAAACAGAGCACAAAGAUAAUUCUGUAAUUAAGCUUGCUUCCUCAUCAUGAAUGCAUGCUUGAUUCAGUGCUUAUUGUCCUUGACACAUGAAGUUGUUUUCUUUUCUUCUUUGCCAGUAAAUAUGCAGUCAUAUUCUCAUAAUCCAGGUCAGUGGUUUCAGAUUGGUCUGCUCUUCUCUGUUGCUGAGACCCAUUUGUUCCAAAAUGGAUCUGAGCUUUCUGCACAGCGUUAAAAAGAGGGAAAUUUUGUGGAGAACUGUGACCCUGUGGCAGACUCCUUUAUUUUAUUUCCUCCUGAGCAGGUAAACCUACUGUUCCUCAAUGGCAACAGUCACUGUUUUCUACAAAGUAAACUAAUGACAGUAUCAAAUAAAAACAAAGAUCAGCUGCUGCUUUCUCUGUGGUAUGAUAUGGAUUGUCAAUUAAUUAGCUAUAGCUACAGUAAGUCAUGGUUGUUUCCAGGCACCAGGAAAGUGACAUUCUUCUGUGAUGGAGACAGGUGUCCGGCCCUUUCACACCCAAUGAGUGGUGUAAAGGAAAACAUCUGCAUCCUCCAUCUGUACAGCAGCUGCACUGCUUCCGAUGUCUUCCAAAACGUGAUGAAGACAACAAAGAUCCUCAAAUCUCCCCAGCCAACUGCCCAUGACUGUGUUUGUUCCACUCCAGAAACUAUGCUUUCAAGCUAA
rnacentral:lncRNA from 1 species